rnacentral:lncRNA from 1 species
UCCGGAAGCAGGAAGCAGUGUGAGUUCCCAGGACCUACCUGGCUUCGGGGAGAGGGUGCCACUAGAGGCAGGUGGGGGCACGAGAAGCAGCCUUGCUAGGGAGAGAGGAGGUAGCUGAGAUGGGACUUUCUGCUGAUGAAGUGAAGCAGGAGUUCCAGGCCACCGCGGAGGAAGUACUGGGAAGGCUGAGGAGCCAGCAGCUGUUCCAGUCUGAAUGGGACAUCGCUGCCUUCGUGGUCUUUCUCACAUUCGUGGGCACUGUGGUGUUGUUGUUGUUCCUGGUUGUUGUUCACUGCUGCUGUUGCUGCUGCUGCACCUCCCCCAGGCCCCGGAAGGAAAAGCCCAAGGGUGUGGAUAACUUGGCCCUGGAACCUUAACGCUAGCUUGCCCUUGGCAUGGGUCCUGCUGGAUGACAGUAACAGAGUCAAUGUUUGCCAAAGCCUGAGUCUGGGUUCUGUUCUAACCCUGCCAGGGGCACUGUGGUGGCUCACCACGAUGCACCUGUGCUUCCCUCGCUUUUACACUCUGAGCUUCCACUACCCCACGGGGCCACCCUGCAGCCUGGGCACAGACUGUGAUACCAGCGUUCAAGAGGCUGAGGCAGGAGGAUUAUAAACUCCCUCAA